AUAAACAAUGAUGAGUAAUUUUUUUACAGUUACAGACCUGUAAUGAUUUGUGAAAAUGAUCGCAAAAAAUUUGAACAUCUAAGGGACUGAGUUUAU
rnacentral:snoRNA from 1 species